rnacentral:lncRNA from 1 species
UUCACUUUAGCUUAUUCAGCCGGCUUAUCAGCCACCGAACAGUAUUUUUCUCUUACAACAAAUCAGCCGUUUCAGCUUUUCAACCGGCUUAUAAGUCCAGCCAAACAGGCCCCUGGACUUUGCGAUCAAGAGUUGAACUCUUUUUAUUUUUAUAUUUUUUAUUUUUGCAUUUUGUAAAAAUAUAUAGUCGGAUGAAAAAAAUUGCAAAACUAGGCUAUUGUCGCCGGUCCAGCCGGCGGUAAGGGGCGGUUGGGCCGGCGGAAGGGCAUUACCGCCGGCCCAGCCGGCGGUAACCGGCCCAUCCCAAUAAGGGGUACACCUCUCCUCACCACACUUUUAAAAAAUUAUAACUAAUUCAUAUCAAUUCGGAUGGAGAUAAACUUUAUAUAAAACUUAUAGAUAUCGAUGAGAUCUACAACUUUGUAGUUAAAUUUUUUUUCAUUUGAUAUUAUAUUGGUGCUCAAAUAAUCGAUAUAAGUUUUAGAUCUAAAAUUCAAUUUUUAGAUCUAAAAUUCAAUUUUUAGAUCUGAAACUUGUGUCAAUUAUUUCAACAAUUAAAUGGCUCCAAAUGAAAAUAGUUUGAACUACAAAGUUGUAAAUCUCGUCGAGGGAUACAAUUUUCAUAUAAAGCUUAUUUCUAUCUGAGCUCGUAUGAAUUAGUUAUCAUUUUUUGAAAGUGUGCUGCCCAAUUUCAGAUCUAAAAAUUGAAUUUUAGAUUUGAAACUUGUGUCGAUUAUUUGAGCACCAAUAUGACAUCAAAUGAAAAAAAGUUUAACUACAAAGUUGUAGAUCUCGACGACGAGAUCUACAAGUUUUAUAUAAAG